UGGGGGAAUAUUGGUCAAUGGGCGGAAGCCUGAACCAGCCAAGUAGCGUGAGGGAUGACUGCCCUAUGGGUUGUAAACCUCUUUUAUAAGGGAAUAAAAUACGGGACGUGUCCUGUUUUGCAUGUACCUUAUGAAUAAGGACCGGCUAAUUCCGUGCCAGCAGCCGCGGUAAUACGGAAGGUCCAGGCGUUAUCCGGAUUUAUUGGGUUUAAAGGGAGCGCAGGCGGUCUUAUAAGCGUGACGUGAAAUGCAGCGGCUCAACCGUAUGAUGUGCGUCGCGAACUGUGAGACUUGAGUGUAUUCGAUGUCAGCGGAAUUUGUGGUGUAGCGGUGAAAUGCUUAGAUAUCACGAAGAACUCCGAUUGCGAAGGCAGCUGAC
rnacentral:rRNA from 1 species